UACGUAGGGGGGCUAGCGUUGUCCGGAAUCAUUGGGCGUAAAGAGCGUGUAGGCGGCCCGGUAAGUCCGCUGUGAAAGUCGGGGGCUCAACCCUCGAAAGCCGGUGGAUACUGUCGGGCUAGAGUGCGGAAGAGGCGAGUGGAAUUCCCGGUGUAGUGGUGAAAUGCGUAGAUAUCAGGAGGAACACCGGUGGCGAAGGCGGGUCUCUGGGCCGAAAUUGACGCUGAGGAGCGAAAGCGUGGGGAGCAAACAG
rnacentral:rRNA from 1 species